AGAAUGUAAGUACCAGUAAGGCAAGUGAGACAAGCCGUUGGUGAUGGAGUCGGCCUGGUCUAGUUGCCGUGAGAGGCAGGCAUCAUAAAAUUUUCAGAAAUCAACAAAGCAUUCAGAAAUUUGACAGGACAACUGGUCUUGGACAUUAAUCUUGUAUAGCCUGCAAACAUAACUGGAUCCAGGCAACUACUACUGCAUGCAUCCUGGCAACUGCCAUUAUAUUCUGCUUUUCAUAAAGGUAUAAGAAGUCUGAUUGCUUGGAAAAACAUGUCACAGUCUCAGUCUUGCUGUGAGCCUUCCAACCUGUGCCUAGGCGAAGAUUCACUUCUCACCGGCCCUAUCAGCUAACCUUGUCCGGCAUAUCCAUGGACUCUGCUCCACGGGGUCACUUACUCAAUGAUGUCACAUCUCCUGCUGUCAGUGAGCACUGGUGAAGGUCCAGGACUUCCAGAUGCUUCAGUGAUGCCAGCUGAGCAGGCACAUCCUCAAAGCCUCCACCCAGUUCCUUGUUGCAGGAGAGGUCCAGUAUCCUCAGCACAUCCAAGGAUGCAAAGACACCAUCUGCAAAGCAGGUCCCAACCCAGGGCCUGAAAUUCAUAUUGGUUUCUAUUCCUGCACAAACAUCAGGACCAAGAAGCAAGUUGGGGAGGAAAGGGUUUAUUCGGCUUACUCUUCCACAUUGCUGUUCAUCACCAAAGGAAGUCAGGACUGGAACUCAAGCAGGUCAGGAAGCAGGAGCUGAUGCAGAGGCCAUGGAGGGAUGUUCUUUACUGGCUUGCUUCCCCUGGCUUGCUCAGCCUGCUCUCUUAUAGACCCCAGGACUACCAGCCCAGAGAUGGUCCCACCCACAAGGGGCCUUUCCCCCUUGAUCACUAAUUGAGAAAAUGCCUUAAAGUUGGAUCUCAUGGAGGCAUUUCCCCAACUGAAGCUCCUUUCUCUGUGAUAACUCCAGCCUGUGUUAAGUUGACACACAAAACCAGCCAGUACACUUUUCUUUUGUGUUUUUCUUUCUUUUUUGGUAAUAAUGAAAGUGUAUGGUUACUGUGAAAGAUUUUUUUUUUAAAUGAAUAAGCCUAGCUAGCACUAAAGCCCUGGGUUCAAUUCCCAUCUCUGAAGCAAAUAAAUAGAACAAAGAAUAUUCAAAUUUAUAUGUUCUAAUAGGUUUUUAAUAAUGUAUAUGCUGUAUAUUUAUGCUAUAUAAUAUAUCUGAAAACAUUUCACUGAUGUCUAUUGUGUGUGGGUAUGUGUGAGUGAUACCCACUUGGAGACACCCCGUGAGCCAUCUCGCCAACCCUGAUAUAUGCUGCAUAUUAUACUUUACAUGAUCUUGACCUUAACCACUGUUAACUCACCCAGUAGUCUGAUGCUCUUUUGGGAUAAUCCACAGGAACGCAACUUCAGUUCCUUUAGGCCUGAUGCACUUCUUAAUCCUUGCGCUAUGACCUCUAGACAGCUGCCAAUAUUUCUGUUGUUGGAAAGGUCAAAUACUUGGAGGCUCUGCAGCUUGGGUAGCAAGUGACCUGGAAGGGAAUAAAUCCAAACAGGAAGUGCAUCCAUGCAGAAGUCAGGGGGCAAGCAGGAGGUCUACUGCAGCUUUCUGUGCCUCGGAGACAGAGCAUCCAGGAGCUUCCCGGCUGCCAAUCACAGGCUUCUGCAGAGAGUCUCUUGUGUACUGUAUGGUUACAUCACUUGUCAAUAAAAACAAAACAAACAAAAACCUAUGGCCUGUAGGAAAGGGUAGAAUAGAAGGCGGGAUAUCCGGUAGGCAAAGAGGAUUUUGGGCUAGAACCAAGCACGGAGGAUUAGGGUCCCAGACAUAGAAGACAGUCAUAUGUAGCUGAGGACCAAGUAAACUGCCAUGAAUAGAAUAAUGGGAUAAUUAAAUUAUAAACCAGUUGGGGAACAUGCCUAGCUAUAUGGCCUAGGUAUUUAUAAAUAUAUUUGACUCUCAGAGUCAUUACUUCCGGGAGCUUGGAACUGGAGGAAAAAACACGCUUAAAGAAAACGCACUCCAGGCAACUUUCCUAUGUUUUUCUGGGACAAAUUCCUCCAAUUCCACUUACCCACAAACACUCCGUCCUGUGACGUGAGGGCACAGUCCACAAGUUCAAGUGUUCGAAUCUUGCUCCCUUGUUGGAAUGUGUGGAGAACCCGAGGCAACUUCCCUCCCACCUGGCUGUUCCACGACAGACUUAGUUCUUCGAGUUCAGGUGUCAUUUCAAGGGCACCUCCUAGUACAAAAUGUUCAGAAAGAAAGAGAUGUCAGUCAUUCACGAUCAGAACAGCCAGUAUUUGGGGCGUAUAAAAGCUGGGGCAGACACUGUGUUAGCCGAUGAGGAGCGAGGAGAAGAAAGGGACCCAGUUCCUGCCCCUAACAAUAGUUUGGUAAGCGCUUGGGAAAAUAGUAUGAGUUUUCACAAAUUUUUUCUCUUUCUUUCUUUCUUUGUGUGUGUGUGUGUGUGUGUAGUUUAACUUAAUUAAAUUGAGGCUUUAGUUGUAGUUGAGAGUUAAGACAAAUUUUAGUUUAAAAAAAGCCCCUCGUUUUCAUGAAUUUUCAAAGGUGGAUUAGAAAAAUGAAGGCGGUAUUAUUUUGUAGUUUAAAAACAGGUUAACUGCUCUCUACUGCAGUUCUUCUGAUUUAUAGAUGAGGGCCUAAGACCCAACGUGAGCUGGCUUUACAACAGCCACACUGAAGAGCCACACAAGCAAGGUGCCUGGUCAGCGGUGCCUCUGCCCUCGUCCUUAUCCACAGAGCUCAGCACAAGCUGGAGUCUAAGGCACAGGGCGUUUCAGCUCAUUCGAUGCCUCAUGGGAGCACCAUUUCCCAGAAUGCACUUGGUCAUUUGCACUCGAAGAGACAACAUUUGCCCUAGAGGGAUCAGCUUGGAAAGAUGCUUCGAGGGAAGACAUGUUUUCUGUUUUCACUUCUAAGCUUUUAAUAUGUAUGUGUAUAUACAAUAUGUACAUACACAUACAUAUAUACAAUAUGUAUGUAUGUUUGCCCAGUUGUGCACAUAAACAGGAAGCUAUAGAAUAACCUCUAGUUUGGUCCUUCAGGUGCCUCUGUCCUCAGUUCAUUCGUUCAUUUGUUUGUUUUGAAAAGGGUCUUCCCUGGCCCAGAGCUUGCUGAGUGGGCCGGCUGGCUAGCAGGCCCCGGGGAUCUGCCUGUCUCUGCCUCCCUGGCCUUGAGAUUCUCAGUCUGUGCUGCCAUAUUUAGCUUACAUGCAUUCUGAAGUUCAAAAUCGGGUCCUCGUGUUUACAAGAAAAGCUUCUUAUGAGCUGAGCCAUCUCCCCAGCCCCUGUCUAAACUUAUCUUUCAAGCUGGUAUAUACAAAGAGCAGUCACGUUUGAGGGGAGGGGGUCACCAUACCCAGUGUUUGAACGUCCUCAGUGGUUAGUCUGCAGCUACUCAGCCUCAGGACUUUUAACUUGUUGACAGGAUGCAUUUGCUGAGUGAGCAUGUGGAGGGCCCCCCUGGCAAAAUCGUUCCAGGAAACGUCCAGUUCUUCCAAGUCUGAGAGGAGAGGCAGGAUUGAAGCUAAAGUGGGCAGAAGAGGAUGCAGACCUGUGUGUGUGUGAUUCGUGAUUUGUAACAGAGCUCAGUGCCUACGUGCACAGGGGGGUAGUUUGGGAUUAUAUGAAACCACAGUGGGUAGGCACGUUGGCAUUUAGCAAAGCAGUGGUCUCUUGCUAGCAAGUGAGGAAAUGACCCCAUUUGCAUUUCCUGUUUCUUGGGAUAUUUUCUAUUUCUGUAAAAAAACAACAACAAAAACAAAAACAAACAAACAAACAAAAGCACCCUGUAAACACAAAGCUAUCUUCCCAGGAUUCUAUAGAACUGUCUAUGUCGUUAUUGACCCCUGUGGCAGAAUGGGCAACUCUGUUUCUGCUGCCAGGACUGCAACUGUUACUGCUCCCUCUGCCCGACAUCCCCCUUUGCUCUAACGGGCUUUCAGUCUGAAACCUGGCUGAUGCUCCAGGGCCAGGUCAGCAGAGCCUGGGAAAGUCUGCACAUCUUCCUCAUCCUGACCCUCCCUUCCCAGCCAUCACUACCUUACAUGCAUUGACUAUUACUCACUUUGAGACAGGAUCUCACUGUGCAGCCCUGGCUGGCCUGAAAUUGACUGUGUAUCACAGAAGUCCAUCUGCGUCUGCCUCCAGGGCGCCAGGAUGUUUGCCUCCACCACACCUGGUGCUAUCUUAUACUUAGACAUCGAUGUGGAAGUUUUGCGAAUAAACCUUGAUGAGUCUCUAUCGGAGCUUGUUAAAAAGUAAAGCUACCCUCCGUGGGAAAAUUCUCAAAAAUCUCCUCUAUCUUCAGGACCAGCAAGGGUGGAGAUGGCCACGUGGAGGAGGCAAGGCAUGCUUGCAUGCUGCAGGAGCCUGUCCUCAGUCACCCUGGAAAGCUACCCAGAGGGCUUCUGUGAUUUCAGGUCACAUAGUCUGGAGUCACAAGUUCUGAAACCACAACUCUGGCAAAAACCUCUUUCUUCUAGCAGUGCUUCUAGCAAAUCAUUUCAGCCACUGCAUCUUAUUCACCAUGACCAGACUUUGUAAAGGAUAAACCACUGACUACACCC